CAGUUAAAAGUAACUUUACACUAAAUUUAGAAUUUAGAGAUGCUUUUUAGCUUAACUGA
rnacentral:tRNA from 1 species